rnacentral:lncRNA from 1 species
CGACCCUCAGUUAAUCAGAAUAUAAAUUUAGAUUUUUAGUUCGACCAACAGGGAAGAAUUUGUCAGAAGUACAUUAGUCUUUACAAUCAGACGAAGUGCAACAUCUUCAGAUGCACUCAUUAACACAUGUUGACACGAGUCAAGUGUUAUAUUUCUAGGAGCACGUAGGUUAAGACAUAAAUAUACACAGUAGGAGGAUGGAAGGAAAAGCACAAAACGAAAAUAGAAGGGUCAUGAACUCUGCCAGGAUCCCUGCUGAGAAUUUUCGAGCAGAAAGAUUUCAAGAUCAACGCGGUGUAGUCAAAACGCACGUGGCUGAGCUACUCCCGUAGAGAUGAAUAUUGCGCAUGCGUCUUGACUAAAAACGCUUCAGAGUAUAAAAGCCUAAGUUAGAUUUAGAAUCAGGGGAGUUGGAAGUAGGAGAGAGUUGAGAGUGGAAGUUGAAAUUAGCAGUUGAGAGUUGAGAGUUCGGUGUAAGUGCUACGAUGCACAGAUUCAACCAAAAUGCCACGGGGCAUAUCUUAGAAGCAUAGUGAAAUGUUGCCAUAAGCUUAAGAAAAAUCUAAGAAUACAAGUUACGGCCUGGCACCCCUAGCCGUAUUGCACCAACACUUGCAGACUUGUCAUACGAAGCAUUCUUUCUGAAAUAAUAAAGCAGUCUAGUUUCAUCCUUCAACCAGUGCAGUGCUGAAGUCAAUUAUCCGAACCUCCCCACGGGCCGGGAAGCAGCCAACAUGGCCCGCUUCCCGGGAACCCCGUACAUAACUGGCGCAGUCGGUCGUCUCGGAGGAUUACCGAGACUUAAGAGAAUCAGGAUGAUAAUCACGAGCCGAAACCGAGGACUGGCAGGCAAACAGCAUCGAAAAAAAAAAAUCAAUAGCAUCUUCAUUCCUUCCUUUAUUUGAUAUUUCUAACGCUUUUUACUUUUAGACUUCCACCAUAUUCACUCAACACCCGCUUGGUAACCACGUCUAGGGAAAGCAGCAGACGUGCAAAACAACCAGGCUAAUUUCUCCCCAAUGAACCUAACCAGCGUUGGAGAGGUAGUAAUGGAUAUGAAGAAUGAGUUGUAAUUGUAAAAUUUGUAAUCAUUGUGGCGUUAACGAAAAGAACAAAAAAAAAAAGGGUUUUAUGCCGUGAUUGAGGAGAGAGCAGACAUAGCUCAACCUCAACCCAAGUGCUUUUGUCCCUUCCAAAAGCCUUAACCUGCGAAAAUUCUGAUGGAUGCUACUAAGAAACUGUACACCGAAUAUCGCUGUUAGAAUUAAGUUUGGUAGGACAAGUUAGCAAGAAAUCGUUUAAAUCAAACCAGAAAAUUCUCAUAAUUCUUAUGAGCCUGAGCCGCAUUAACCAAAUGCUAGGAAUGUGAUAUCCUUGAUACGUCAGGAAUCCUUCCUGUUGCCAUCCCGGGGCUCCAGACAACUAGAUUUGUGAGGCCCUCGACACGUCAGGACUCCGUCUAGCCUGGAACAGUCAUUGGGAAUGUGAUGUCCUCGAUACGUCAGGCAUCCGCCCUUGGACGAACUCCGCAGCAACUCGAGCACAUCAGUGGAACUCAGAAAAAAAAAACUAAAACAGUUUUUUAAAGUCGAAUCGAGACGAUUCGAGUCUAACGAUGGGGUAGUUACGGCCUGGCACCCCUAGCCGUAUUGCACCAACACUUGCAGACUUGUCAUACGAAGCAUUCUUUCUGAAAUAAUAAAGCAGUCUAGUUUCAUCCU